ensembl:snRNA U6 U6 spliceosomal RNA
GUGCUCACUUUGGCAACACAUAUAAUAAUAUUAAAAUGAUACAGAGAUUAGCAUGGCCACUGCACAAGGAUGACAUGAAAAUUCAUGAAGCAUUCCAUAUUUUU